rnacentral:rRNA from 1 species
GAUGAACGCUAGCUACAGGCUUAACACAUGCAAGUCGAGGGGCAGCAUCGCGAUAGCUUGCUAUUGCGGAUGGCGACCGGCGCACGGGUGAGUAACGCGUAUCCAACCUUCCCGCAACUGGGGAAUAACCUUGCGAAAGUAAGACUAAUACCCCAUGGUCUCCACGGAUGGCAUCUGAAAUGGAGUAAAGGUUUCGGCCGGUUGCGGAUGGGGAUGCGUCCGAUUAGCUUGACGGCGGGGUAACGGCCCACCGUGGCAUCGAUCGGUAGGGGUUCUGAGAGGAAGGUCCCCCACAUUGGAACUGAGACACGGUCCAAACUCCUACGGGAGGCAGCAGUGGGGAAUAUUGCACAAUGGGGGAAACCCUGAUGCAGCGACGCCGCGUGAGCGAAGAAGUAUUUCGGUAUGUAAAGCUCUAUCAGCAGGGAAGAUAAAUGACGGUACCUGACUAAGAAGCACCGGCUAAAAUACGUG